rnacentral:rRNA from 1 species
AUGGAGGAGGCAGAGAAGGGGGAGAUCUUCGAGAGGAACACCGUGUCGACAUUGGACAGGCAUCCGGAUCCGGGGCCAACGGCUGGCCUGCUCACCGACGACCUCAUCCUGGAGAUCCUCUCCCGCCUCCCCGCCAGAUCCCUCCACCGCGUCAAGUGCGUUUCCGUGUCCUGGCGCGACCUCAUCAUCGAUCCUGCCAACCGCAACAAGCUGCCACAGACCCUAGCUGGCUUUCUCUACAUGACCGUCAACAGCAGCGGGUGCCGCCACCACUUCGCCAGCAUAUCCGGCGACGGCGCAGCCCCGUUCGAUCCUUCCCUGCAGCCUAACAAGUACAUGGACAUGGUCCAGGUGGACGCCUGCAACGGCCUCCUCCUCUACUGCGGCUGCAACGAGAAGUUGUCCCCUUUCAAUUGGGCAGAGGAUGAUUUCCGUUUUGUCGUGUGCAAUCCUCUCACUGGGAGGUGGGUGGAACUGCCUCCUACGCUCCAGGCGCCAGAAAAUAACAGAUAUAGUUGUACCGCAGGCCUGGCUUUUGAUCCGGCGGCCCAUUUCAAUGUUCUUCACUUCGAGCAGGCCUUUCACAAAGCUUACGUCACAGGAGUGAACAUCUACUCGUCAUGGGCAAGAGCCUGGACUCGCAGGGAUAGUGGGAUGGUUGAGAAAGUGGCGCCGUUCUUCCGUGGUAAAUGUGUCUUUGUUAGCCGUAUAAUGUAUGUGAUGGGCAGCCUGAUGGACAUGAACAACGAGUACGUGCUCAUGGGGGUGGACAUGGAGGGGAAAGUGUGGAAGACUAUCCGUGUGCCGUAUGGCCAAAGAUUUGCUACGAUUGGAGUGUCACAGGGGUGCUUACACUAUGCUGCAGCUUCUGUUGUUGAUAACGAUAAAAGGACGGUUUCCCAGAUAGCGCUCUGGUGCCUCAAGGGUCGUGACAGUAAAGAAUUAGUCCUGAAGCAUACCGCCAACAUCAAUAAACUUAUGAGCAUGACUGGAAAAAAGUACAUGGUGGAUGCGGUUCAUCCAGAUUGCGACACAAUUUUUUUGAUUUCAUAUGGAGGUGACACCUUAGCGGCAUAUGAUAUGCGACAUCAGAAAGUUGGUUGUAUCCUUAAUCUUGAGAAAAGCAAUACAUGCCGAUUUCUACCCUAUGUUCCUUUGUUCUCAAAGUCAUUAGCAGAUGCAGAUGAGCAGUAG